rnacentral:rRNA from 1 species
AUGAGCUGUGCGCCGGUCCGUGUCAACGCCGGCUUCGCCGCCGGCGUCCUCUUCGCGCUCCUCGUCUGUUUCAUCCUCCAGCAGGAGGUUGCCAUCAGCGGCCUCAGCGUCGCCACCACGGCAGCAGUAGCGCAAUGGAUCACGCUUAAACAGCUGAGUAGAGAUCCUGCUGCAAUGCAGCUGAUUAAAGCUCCCGGUGAAAGUGAAACACUCGUCGCUUCUGACGUGCAGCGGACCCCGGACAUAGAGCCGAUCCAAGGUUCAGAUAAUGGCAAGGUGGUGUGUAACACGGAGGGCCGCUCGCGUGACUGGUCGGAAACCUGCGAAGUCGACGGCGACGUCCGCACCAACGGCACAGCAUUGUCGGUGACCCUCGUCCCAGCGAACAGGUCGUCGGAGCGCCGUGAGUGGAUGAUCUCACCGUACCCGCGUGGUGGCCAGAGCCUGAGGUCGGUCACCGUGACGCAGCUGCAGGACCGAUCCGCCGCCCCGCCGUGCACGGUGACCCACACUAUGCCUGCCGUCCUGUUCGGGAUCGGGGGCUACGUCGGCAACUACUGGCAUGACUACACCGACAUGCUGGUGCCGCUGUUCGUCGCGUCGCGGCGGUACCACGGGGAGGUGACGUUCCUGGUCAGCAACAUCCAGCACCUCCCGCGGUGGCUGGUCAAGUACAAGGCCUUGUUGCAUGGUCUGUCCAAGUACGAGGUCGUGGACAUGGACCGAGACGCGUAUGUGCGGUGCUUCCCGCGCGUCACGGUGGGGCUCCACCUCGACAAGGAGCUAACCAUCGUCCCCGAGAAGGUGCCGGGGGGCCCUCUCACCAUGGCCGACUUCACGCGGUUCGUGCGCGAGACCUACGCGCUCCCACGCGGAGCACCGACCCGGGAGCCGGGCAAGAAGCCGCGGCUCCUGCUGAUCCACCGGGGGGACUUCCGCCGGUUCCUGAACGAGCAGGAGAUACUGCAAGCGGCAGAGGAGGCGGGGUUUGAGGCGGCGCUGUCGGAGCCGCGGGUCAACGGAUCCGAGGUGGAGCAGGCGCGGCUGGUGAACUCGUUCGACGUGGUGCUGGGCAUGCACGGCGCGGGGCUGACGAACGCGGUGCACCUGCCGCCGGGCGGCGUGCUGAUCCAGGUGGUGCCGUACGGGAAGAUGGAGUACCUCGCGAGGGCGGAGUUCAGCGAGGGCGCGACGGACAUGGGGCUCAAGUACCUUGACUACAGCAUGAGCGCGGAGGAGAGCUCGCUGAUGGAGAAGCUCGGGCCUGAGCACCCGGCCAUCAAGGACCCCGAGUCCAUCCACCGCAGCGGCUGGGAGAAUAUGUUUGAGCUCUACCUUAAGCAGAACGCUCGCAUCAACACAACCCGCUUCGCACCAACGCUGGUGCAAGCGUUCGACCACCUACGGCAGCAGUAG